rnacentral:misc_RNA from 1 species
UGAGACUGUUAAAAAGACCUUAAGAAAAAUUUCCUCACAGGUUUCGCAACCUGAAACGCGGCGAACUCCCGAUUCCGAAUACUAAGAAAAAAAAAAGCCAAGAUUGUAAUACCCAUUGCCCAGUGAUGAGCAGAGGAGGAGGGGGAUGGGGAGGAAGAAGGAGCCAUGGUAAUUACACGAACCCCUGCUUGACCAUGCACCAACCAUGGGCUUCCUUGUUAGUUUAUGGGAUCAAGCGCAUUGAAGGCAGGUCGUGGCCUGCUCCUAUUCGAGGCCGCCUUUGGAUUCAUGCUGCAAGUAAAGUUCCAGAGGAAGCUACAAUCAAAGCAAUGGAGGACUUUUAUAAGGAAAUCUAUGCAGUGAAUGGCAUUACUGAAAUUAAGUUUCCAGAACAUUAUCCUGUUUCAAGACUUUUAGGGUGUGUUGAAGUGGUUGGCUGUGUUAGAUGUGAAGAACUAGCAAGCUGGGAGGCAGUACCUGAAGGGGCAAGGUUAGAAGGACAAACAGAUUUUUGCUGGCUUUGUGAAGAGCCACAGAAAUUGCUAGUUCCAUUUGAGAUGCGAGGCUAUCAAGGUGUUUAUAACUUGGAAAAGAAGAUAUAUGAAGCCGCAGUUAGAGGUCUCACACCAGUUAAAGGUCCAAUGCCAGUAAAAUUUCCCCUUCCAAAUCCUCGUGAUCCUUUUUCCUUAAAACCAGGGUCUAUUUCAAUGCUGUUACCUGAAAAAGCAUCUGAAGUGGAGAAAUCAUCAAGUCUCACAGCAGCUAUUGCUGGUGCCCGUGCUGCAGCUACUCAGUUCAACAAGAAAGAUCAAGAUCUCUUAGUAAAUGCUGUCCAGAAUAGCAAUUCUAAUUCCAGAAGGAGCAACCUAGCGAACAGCAAACCUUUGGAAGAACAUAAAAAGCCACAUUUUAACUUGUAUGGAGAACCUUCGGUGUCAAAUGAGGCAGAUCAAAGCAAUUACAUCAAGUGUGAAGAAAGCAGUAGCCAUAGUCGAACUCGUGCGGAUAUGAAACAACUUCCUGGAGCUCCUGCUAAGAUUUUUGCUGCUGCAGUUAGAGGGCUGAAGCCAUCCUGAAUUUAUGUUGUUCCUGUUGAGCAUUAGUUUUACACAGUAAUUCUCCCAUACAAGUGGCCUCCAGAAGUUGAUCGUAUCUUGCAGAGAUUCAAGUCAGCCUGCAAUCAGUUGAAGAUUACUUAUUAGCUGGUUACUUUUUGCUGUAUUUAUUCUUCAGCACCUGUCAAUAGUUUAUAACGUAUUUGGAUUGAUCUAGGUUACGAUGUAUUUACAGAAUUGUUGUUAGAUGCAUGGAUUUUUACAGAGUUGAAAUUGUCAGAAGGAAUGUAUCUGGAUUCAAAAUAGACUACAUUGUAUUCAUAGAAUUGUGUUAAGAUAUGGGAACUUCUGACAAUUUCAACUCUGUA